GACGAACGCUGGCGGCGUGCUUAACACAUGCAAGUCGAACGAAGUGGCGAACGGGUGAGUAACGCGUAAUCAACCUGCCCUUCAGAGGGGGACAACAGUUGGAAACGACUGCUAAUACCGCAUACUGAAGGAGGGGAUGGCGUCGGAUUAGCUAGUUGGAGGGGUAACGGCCCACCAAGGCGAUGAUCCGUAGCCGGGCUGGGGGGGUGAACGGCCAAAAUGGGACUGAGACAAGGCCCAGACUCCUACGGGAGGCAGCCGUGGGGAAACUUCCGCAAUGGACGAAAGUCUGACGGAGCAACGCCGCGUGAGUGAUGACGGCCUUCGGGUUGUAAAGCUCUGUUUGUCGGGACGCGGUACCGGAAUAGAAAGCCACGGCUAACUACGUGCCAGCAGCCGCGGUAAUAC
rnacentral:rRNA from 1 species